AAAAUGAGAUUUCAUCGGCCUAGUUUUCGGAAUUAGUCAUUUCCGAAGAACGAUGGAUAAAAACUUAAAAUGAUAUAUUAAUUUACACUGUCAACACCAUGAAUUGAAGAAAAUUGUUAUUUUAUCAGCAUCUUGACAUGUCACAGACUGUCCAUGUAUGGUGCUGCCAUCUAUGCGUGAAUGAGAGCAUCGUAUUCUAAAAAGACCAGGAUCACAAAUUGAAGAGUGCAGGACAGUGGAAACUCCACAUGUAUUGAAUAGAAUGGAAUGGGGGAAAUAUUUUAGUGUCAAUGCUGGACUCGAACCCCGCACUAUCGGUCGUAAGAUUCACAGAUUAGCCCUCUCGGAUAUAAUAUGUAUCCAGCCGCAAGGAACUAAUUGGCUUCAUUAGGUGUGCCUAAUUGGUGCGAUAAAAUUCUAAUUGCUUAACCGUAUUAGGUGAAGGCAGUUAAUAAACGGUUUUUCUUAUAGUUA